ACAAUCUGCACAACCUGAACCACAGAAUUCAGCAGGAAUUCACCCCAAAAGAAAGAGAAGGAAGUAAUGACAGCUAGGGACUUAACCAACAUAUAUACAAGCAAGAUGUCUGAAGCAGAAUUUAGAAUCAUGAUAAUAAGAAAACUAGCUGGAGU